GUGGGGAAUAUUGGACAAUGGGCGAAAGCCUGAUCCAGCCAUGCCGCGUGUGUGAAGAAGGUCUUCGGAUUGUAAAGCACUUUAAGUUGGGAGGAAGGGCAGUAAGUUAAUACCUUGCUGUUUUGACGUUACCGACAGAAUAAGCACCGGCUAACUUCGUGCCAGCAGCCGCGGUAAUACGAAGGGUGCAAGCGUUAAUCGGAAUUACUGGGCGUAAAGCGCGCGUAGGUGGUUUUGUAAGUUGGAGGUGAAAUCCCCGGGCUCAACCUGGGAACUGCAUCCAAAACUGCAUGACUAGAGUACGGUAGAGGGUAGUGGAAUUUCCUGUGAAGCGGUGAAAUGCGUAGAUAUAGGAAGGAACACCAGUGGCGAAGGCGACUACCUGGACUGAUACUGACACUGAGGUGCGAAAGCGUGGGGAGCAAACAGGAUUAGAUACCCCUGUAGUCC
rnacentral:rRNA from 1 species